rnacentral:rRNA from 1 species
GAUGAACGCUGGCGGCGUGCUUAACACAUGCAAGUCGAACGAUGAAGCUCAGCUUGCUGGGUGGAUUAGUGGCGAACGGGUGAGUAACACGUGAGUAACCUGCCCUUAACUCUGGGAUAAGCCUGGGAAACUAGGUCUAAUACCGGAUAGGAGCGUCCACCGCAUGGUGGGUGUUGGAAAGAUUUAUCGGUUUUGGAUGGACUCGCGGCCUAUCAGCUUGUUGGUGAGGUAAUGGCUCACCAAGGCGACGACGGGUAGCCGGCCUGAGAGGGUGACCGGCCACACUGGGACUGAGACACGGCCCAGACUCCUACGGGAGGCAGCAGUGGGGAAUAUUGCACAAUGGGCGAAAGCCUGAUGCAGCGACGCCGCGUGAGGGAUGACGGCCUUCGGGUUGUAAACCUCUUUCAGUAGGGAAGAAGCGAUAGUGACGGUACCUGCAGAAGAAGCACCGGCUAACUACGUG